AUCCUCUAGAGAUUCCACGGGAGGCAGCAGUAAGGAAUAUUGCGCAAUGGACGAAAGUCUGACGCAGCGACGCCGCGUGGGGGAUGAAGGUCUUCGGAUUGUAAACCCCUUUCGGCAGGGAAGAUGGAACGGGUAACCGUUCGGGCGGUACCUGCAGAAGCAGCCACGGCUAACUUCGUGCCAGCAGCCGCGGUAA
rnacentral:rRNA from 1 species